GUCCACGCCCUAAACGAUGUCAACUGGUUGUUGGGAGGGUUUCUUCUCAGUAACGAAGCUAACGCGUGAAGUUGACCGCCUGGGUAGUACGGCCGCAAGGUUGAAACUCAAAGGAAUUUACGGGGACCCGCACAAGCGGUGGAUGAUGUGGUUUAAUUCGAUGCAACGCGAAAAACCUUAACCUACCCUUGACAUGUCAGAGAUCCCGAAGAGAUUUGGGAGUGCUCGAAAGAGAAUCUGAACACAGGUGCUGCAUGGCCGUCGU
rnacentral:rRNA from 1 species